CCUCCAUUUCAUGGCUGGGCGCGGCUCGGCGGAAGAUGGCUCCCCGCCUCCCGAGGCUGGGGGCGGGCCGAGGUAGUGGCUUCGUGGCCGGGCGGUGCCAGACGCGAAGGCCGUCCGUGGCUGUGCAGGCUAAGAGGAGCGGCGGCCCAGCGCCUCACCAUGACGGCGGCCAUGAGACAGCGCUUCGACCGCUUCUUGCAUGAGAAGAACUGCAUGACCGCCGUGCUCGAGCGGAUCGAGAGCAAGACCGGCGUCGACCGCACCUACAUCGCCAUCGCUGUCCUGGGGGCGGUGGCCGUGUACCUGGUGAUCGGCUACGGCGCCUCGCUGCUCUGCAACAUCAUCGGCUUCGGCUACCCCGCCUACGUGUCAAUCAAGGCCAUUGAAAGUCCCAAUAAAGAUGACGAUACACAGUGGCUGACUUACUGGGUUGUGUACGGUGUUUUCAGCAUAGCAGAAUUCUUCUCUGAUAUCUUUCUGUCCUGGUUCCCUUUCUACUACAUGCUGAAGUGUGGAUUUCUGCUCUGGUGCAUGGCUCCAAGUCCCUCUAAUGGAGCAGAGUUCCUCUAUCACCGAAUCAUCCGGCCUUUCUUCCUGAAGCAUGAGGCUCAGCUGGACAAUGUUGUCAAAGACCUGAAAGACAAGGCUGCAGAGACUGCAGAUACCAUUGCUAAAGAAGAUCUGAAGCUGUACUUAGUAUCUCACAUUACAGUGUUUUCAAGAAAUUCAGUAUGAAUUACUGAAGCUUCUCUGUUCUCAUAUCCACACUGGUAUGUCUUCAGAGCAUACAGUAGUGCUAUGGCAGUUCAUAACUCACAAAACACAGAGAAGAUGGAAGAAUCACAAAAUGGUUGAUGUUGGAAGGGACUACUUGGGAUUAUCUAGCCCAACCUCUCUGCUUCAAGCAGGGUUUACCUAGAGCACAUUGCCCAGGAUCACAUCCAGAUGGAACUUCUUAUGUUCCAGUUUGUGCCCACUGCCUCUUGUUUGGUACCACAGAAAACAGCCUGGUCCCAUCCUGGUGAUACCCUCUCUUAAUAUAUACGUACACAUUAAUAAGAUCUCCUCCCAGUUUUCUCCAACUGAGCAGUCCCAGGUCUCAGCCUUUCCUCAUAAGGGAGAUGCUCCAGGCUCGCAGCCAUCUCUGUAGUCCUCCACUGGAUUUCUCUAGAAAUUCCCUGUCUGUUGAACUGAAGAGCCCAGAACUGGACACAGCACUCCAGAUGUGGCCUCACCAGGGCAGAGCAGAGCGGGAGGAUCACUUCCCUCGAUCUGCUGGCCGUGCUCUCUUUAAUGUACCCCUGGACACCAUUGGUCUUCUUGGCCACAAGGGCACACUGCUGGCUCAUGGCCAACCUGUUGACCACCAGGACACCCAGGUCCUUCUCUGCAGAGCUCCUUUCUAGCAGGUCAGCCUCUGAUUUGUACUAAUACAUGUAGUUAUUCCUUCCCAGGUGCAGGACUCUACACUUGCUCUUAUUGAACCUCAUUAGGUUCCUCUCUGCCCAACUCUUAAGUCUGUUUAAGUCUCACUGAAUGGCAGCACAGCCUCCUGGUGCGUCAGCCACUCCCCCAGCUUUGUAUUAUCAGGAAACUUGCUGAGGGUGGACUCUAUCCCUUCAUCCAGCUUAUUGAUAUUGAACGAGACUGGAAACAGUACUGACCCCUGGGGAACUAUAGGCCUCUAACUAGACACUGCACAUCUGAUUACAACACUGUAAGCCCUGCUGUUCAGCCAGCCUUUUAAUCCACCUGACUGUCCACUCAUCUAACCCACAUUUUCUGAUCUUACUUGUGAGGAUGUCAUGGGAGACAGUGUUGAAAGCCUUGCUGAACUCCAGGUGGAGAACAUGCACUGCUCUCCACACAUCUAAGCAUCCAGUCAUUCUGUCGUAGAAGGUUACGAUGUUGGUUAAGCUUGAUUUCCCUUUGGUGAAUCCAUGCUGAUUACUCCAAUCACUGUCUUGUCCUCUAUAUGCUUAGAGACGGCCUUCAAGAUAAACUGUUCAAUUAUUUUUCUUGAGAUGGAAGUGAGGCUGGCAGGCCUGAAGUUUUCUGAGUCCUCCUGCCCGGUCAACUGCAGGUAUAGCAGUUGCGGCCAGUGCAGUGAGUGUAGUGAGUUUCACCUUUUGAAAUAAUUUUAAAUAAAGAUACUUAAAAUUUUGA